GCGGUCAAGUAAGUCAGUGGUGAAAGCCUUCGGCUCAACCGGAGAAUUGCCAUUGAAACUACCUGACUUGAGUGUAGUUGAGGUGGGCGGAAUGUAGCAUGUAGCGGUGAAAUGCAUAGAUAUGCUACAGAACACCGAUAGCGAAAGCAGCUCACCAGACUACGACUGACGCUGAGGCACGAAAGCAUGGGUAGCAAACAGGAUUAGAUACCCUGGUAGUCCAUGCCGUAAACUAUGAACACUCGGAGUUUGUCGCCUAGCGAUAAGCUCCCUAGCGAAAGCGUUAAGUGUUCCACCUGGGGAGUACGGCCGCAAGGCUAAAACUCAAAGGAAUUGACGGGGGCCCGCACAAGCGGAGGAGCAUGUGGUUUAAUUCGAUGAUACGCGAGGAACCUUACCUGGGCUAUAAUGCCUGUGACAGCUCCGGAAACGGGGUCUUCCUUCGGGACACAGUGCAAGGUGCUGCAUGGCUGUCGUCAGCUCGUGCCGUGAGGUGUUGGGUUAAGUCCCUUAACGAGCGCAACCCCUAUCUUUAGUUGCCAGCACUUUUAGGUGGGCACUCUAAAGAAACUGCCUGCGUAAGCAGCGAGGAAGGAGGGGAUGACGUCAAGUCAUCAUGGCCCUUAUGCCCAGGGCUACACACAUGCUACAAUGGUGAGUACAAAGGGAAGCCACUUGGCGACAAGGAGCUAAUCCCUAAAGCUCAUCACAGUUCGGAUUGGAGUCUGCAACCCGACUCCAUGAAGCUGGAUUCGCUA
rnacentral:rRNA from 1 species